GAUGAAGAACGUAGUGAAAUGCGAUAAGUAGUGUGAAUUGCAGAAUUCAGUGAAUCAUCGAAUCUUUGAACGCACAUUGCGCCCCUUGGUAUUCCAUGGGGCAUGCCUGUUCGAGCGUCAUUACACCCCUCAAGCCUGGCUUGGUAUUGGGCGACGGCAGUCUGCCGCGCCUCGAAGUGAUCGGCUGGACGGUUUGAAUCUCAGCGUUGUGGUUUCAUCAAUUCGCUGGCGAGGACGACCGGACGCGCCGUUAAACCUCAAUCACAGGUUGACCUCGGAUCGGGUAGGGAUACCCGCUGAACUUAAGCAUAUCAAUAAGCGGAGGA
rnacentral:misc_RNA from 1 species